AGUGGGGAAUAUUGCACAAUGGGCGAAAGCCUGAUGCAGCGACGCCGCGUGAGGGAUGACUGCCUUCGGGUUGUAAACCUCUUUCAGCAGGGACGAAGCGAAAGUGACGGUACCUGCAGAAGAAGCACCGGCCAACUACGUGCCAGCAGCCGCGGUAAUACGUAGGGUGCAAGCGUUGUCCGGAAUUAUUGGGCGUAAAGAGCUCGUAGGCGGCUAGUCGCGUCGGCUGUGAAAACCUGGGGCUCAACCCCGGGCCUGCAGCCGAUACGGGCUAGCUAGAAUUCGGUAGGGGAGACUGGAAUUCCUGGUGUAGCGGUGAAAUGCGCAGAUAUCAGGAGGAACACCGGUGGCGAAGGCGGGUCUCUGGGCCGAUAUUGACGCUGAGGAGCGAAAGCGUGGGGAGCGAA
rnacentral:rRNA from 1 species